AGUGAACGCUGGCGGCAUGCCUUACACAUGCAAGUCGAACGGUAACGCGGGGCAACCUGGCGACGAGUGGCGAACGGGUGAGUAAUGCAUCGGAACGUGCCUGGUAGUGGGGGAUAACUGCUCGAAAGAGCAGCUAAUACCGCAUACGACCUGAGGGUGAAAGGGGGGGAUCGCAAGACCUCUCGCUAUCAGAGCGGCCGAUGUCGGAUUAGCUGGUUGGUGGGGUAAAGGCCCACCAAGGCAACGAUCCGUAGCUGGUCUGAGAGGACGACCAGCCACACUGGGACGGAGACACGGCCCAGACUCCUACUGGAGGCAGGAGUGGGGAAUUUUGGACAAUGGACGCUAGUCUGAUCCAGCCAUGCCGCGUGCGGGAAGAAGGCCUUCGGGUUGUAAACCGCUUUUGUCAGGGAAGAAAUCUUCUGGGCUAAUACCCUGGGAGGAUGACGGUACCUGAAGAAUAAGCACCGGCUAACUACGUGCCAGCCGCCGCGGUAAAAC
rnacentral:rRNA from 1 species